UAAUUCAGCCUGAAUGUCUUUUAGAGGGUGGGCUUUUGUUGAUGAGGGAGGGGAAACCUUUUUUUUUCUGUAGACCUUUUUCAGAUAACACCAUCUGAGUCAUAACCAGCCUGGCAGUGUGAUGACGUAGAUGCAGAGGGAGCAGCUCCUUGGUUUCUCUUCAUAAGCAGAAGAGUUGCUUCAUUCCAUCUCGGAGCAGGAAACAGCAGACUGCUGUUGACAGAUAAGUGUAACUUGGAUCUGCAGUAUUGCAUGUUAGGGAUAGAUAAGUGCCUUUUUUCUCUUUUUCCAAAAAGACCUGUAGAGCUGUUGAAUGUUUGCAGCUGGCCCCUCUUAGGCAGUUCAGAAUUUUGAGUAGUUUUCCCAUCCAGCCUCUUAAAAAUUCCUAAGCCUUGCACCGAUGGGCUUUCAUGAUGGGAUAGCUAAUAGGCUUUUGCAUCGUAAACUUCAACACAAAAGCCUACAUGAUUAAUGCCUACUUUAAUUACAUUGCUUACAAGAUUAAGGAAUCUUUAUCUUGAAGACCCCAUGAAAGGGAUCAUUAUGUGCUGAAAAUUAGAUGUUCAUAUUGCUAAAAUUUAAAUGUGCUCCAAUGUACUUGUGCUUAAAAUCAUUAAAUUAUACAAAUUAAUAAAAUACUUCACUAGAGAAUGUAUGUAUUUAGAAGGCUGUCUCCUUAUUUAAAUAAAGUCUUGUUUGUUGUCUGUAGUUAGUGUGGGCAAUUUUGGGGGGAUGUUCUUCUCUAAUCUUUUCAGAAACUUGACUUCGAACACUUAAGUGGACCAGAUCAGGAUUUGAGCCAGAAGACCGAAAUUAACUUUAAGGCAGGAAAGACAAAUUUUAUUCUCCAUGCAGUGAUGAGCAUUUAAUAAUUGCAGGCCUGGCAUAGAGGCCGUCUAACUAAGGACUAAGUACCUUAGGCAGGUGGGAGAUGAUGGUCAGAGUAAAAGGUAACUACAUAUUUUGUUUCCAGAAAGUCAGGGGUCUAAUUUGACCAUGGCUAAACAUCUAGGGUAAGACACUUUUCCCCCACAUUUCCAAA
rnacentral:lncRNA from 1 species